ensembl:lncRNA
GGACAACAGAGUGUAGAGACCAGCUUAAACACACCACCUCAUCGUGUUUUCAUUCUUCACCAGUACAGCACGUCAGUUCUUCCUCCAUUCACAAAGCAGCUGGGUCAAGAACCAAGUGUUUCAGGAAUUACUGAAAAGAGUACAAGAAGAAGUUGAUAAAUACAAGGAAGAUGAUGUGUAUAGAAGAGCUGCAAUCACAAAAAUAUUUAAUCAUGCAAAUUCACUGGAUAACAAAGAAAAACUGGAAAUAUUCAAGGAAACCCUUCAAACAGCGAUAGAAGAGGAAGAGAGACUGAAGGAAGAAUCCAAGUACAAAUUGAGAAUCGCCUCAAAACAAUUCAAUGAAAAAAAGAAGGAAUUUAUUCGCCAAUUGGAACAAGCAAUGUUAUUAUCAUAUUAUUCUCCACCACUGCAGGAAAUAGUUGACAUCGGAUUUCACAUGUUGAAAAAAACCAGAGCUUACUUAGACAAGAAGCUGGAUUUACUGCAAGAAUAGAGAACUCAGAAAAGAUAAAUGAAAGGAGUAAAUGAUGAGCUUCAGAAAAUUGUAAGAGAAACAAUAAAUUGAACUUGUGUUUCUGUUUUCAUUUGUUGACCUAUGUAACGUAUAUCAUGUAUUUGUGAAAGGACAUAAUCUGAGUUGUUUUUGUGACUUUCUCUAAUUGAAUACUUCUUAGUUGCAUAACAUCUUGUCCUAUAAUGGUCUCUGAGUGGUAUUAUGAAGUGAAAAGCUUUACUCCUGGUGUGAGGCCUAAGCAAGAGCACAGUUGAGCUCUUCGGUCUUGAUGCUAUAAUGACUGCAGUAGUGAAACCUGGAUCCUUGGGUAAGCAGCACAACUUGUCAGUUUUUUGCAGUUAUUUAAGUUCCAGUGUUGCAGUUGUUUAGGCUGUGUUUAACUUCCUUAUCAAAGAGAUCAGAAAAAGGCAGACCUGCAUAGUGUAUGAUCCGUUCUGUUCUGAAACUACACCUGAGGUUUCCAAAUCUAGCUUGUGCUUCCACAUGUAUGAUCUGGUGUUGGCAGCAUGUAACCAGUCACAGACAUGAACAGGUCUACUGGCAAGUUGUACUCCCACCUCAUGGAUUCUUUGCUGACAGUAACAUUAUUUUGAUCAUAUUAGCUAAUGUAAUCAAGACAAGAAUAAUUUAAACACAUAUAGUACAGUGUGUGUGAGUGUGUGUGUCAAUGUUUUAAUUUACUUCUUUAUUUAGAACAGUUAUUCUGAUUAGAAAAAUACUGCUACAAUGUAUACCAUUACAUAUUAACAUAUAUUGAGUUAGGUAAUAAAAACUGUGACAUUUAUGGGGAAAUAAAGCUGCUGUGGCUACUUGGUGACAGAAAUUCAGUUUUUAUAAAUUUGAAUGGUACAGUUCUGCCAUAAAAGUCCAAUCAGUAUCAAACAAUUACAAUUUAAGAAAAUUAAUUAUAUUGUUUAUGAUGUGUGGUAGAAUAGUUUCCUUAAUGUUUUGCAUAGCAUAUGAUUGUAAUUUGUAAUGUGAUCCUUAUCUUAUAAUUAUGACAUAAUUCAUGAAAUAUAUGAAUGAUUAAUGUGUUAUCUAAUCAUUAAGUUAUUUAAUUCAACAUGAAGGUACUGACUCUCUGGCUUUAUAUCAUUUAAAUGUACUGAUGAACUGAGCAGUUUUAUUCACUGAUUAAAGAGUUUGUAGUCACAGUAAAAUUUGAAUAAUACAUGAAUAUAUUUAUGAAAAAUUCAAUCUAAACAUUUGUGAAUAUUUUUUCUGUAACUGUAAAUUAGACCAACAACAGCCAUGUCGCCUUACAAAUUCACAAUAUGAUGGCCUCAUGUGUGAGUGGUGUGUAUGGUGUGCUCAAUACACACCCAUCCAGUGAGCUAAUAUUGAGGAUGAUGAUGGAGGACAAGACACUGGAAAUUUUCACAGACUGAGGCUUGCCUGUCAAGAAUUCCAGCACCAGUGGUUCGAGUCCCAACAAUAAAAGUGGCUAGUGUCUGUGGAUUAAUGGUAUUAAAUGCAAAAUUAAAGUCCAGAAAGAGUAGUCAGACAUAUACACUCCAAGUCAAAACUGUGGACACA